rnacentral:rRNA from 1 species
AUGGUAGGAUAGAGGCCUACCAUGGUGGUAACGGGUAACGGGGUGUUAGGGCACGACACCGGAGAGGGAGCCUGAGAAACGGCUACCACAUCCAAGGAAGGCAGCAGGCGCGCAAAUUACCCAAUCCCGACACGGGGAGGUAGUGACAAUAAAUAACAAUACAGGGCUCUUUUGGGUCUUGUAAUUGGAAUGAGUACAAUUUAAAUCUCUUAACGAGGAACAAUUGGAGGGCAAGUCUGGUGCCAGCAGCCGCGGUAAUUCCAGCUCCAAUAGCGUAUAUUAAAGUUGUUGCAGUUAAAAAGCUCGUAGUUGAAUUUCGGGAUCAAUAUGUCGGUCGUGCUUCGGUACGUACUGGUAUCAUUGGUUUCUCCUUUCUGACGAACCAUGAUGUCAUUAAUUUGGUGUUAUGGGGAGUUAGGACUGUUACUUUGAAAAAAUUAGAGUGUUUAAAGCAGGCUUUAGCUUGAAUACAUUAGCAUGGAAUAAUGAAAUAGGACGUUCGAACCUAUUUUGUUGGUUUCUAGGAUCAACGUAAUGAUUAAUAGGGAUAGUUGGGGGCAUUAGUAUUCAAUUGUCAGAGGUGAAAUUCUUGGAUUUAUUGAAGACUAACUACUGCGAAAGCAUUUGCCAAGGAUGUUUUCAUUAAUCAAGAACGAAAGUUAGGGGAUCGAAGACGAUCAGAUACCGUCGUAGUCUUAACCAUAAACUAUGCCGACUAGGGAUCGGAUGAUGUUAAUUUUUUAAUGACUCAUUCGGCGCCUUACGGGAAACCAAAGUGUUUGGG